CUCGGGGUGAGCAUCUAGGGACGCGUCGGCAACUGCAGGACCCCCUGGUUGCCUCCCCGCCCCUCUUGCUGACCCCGGG
ensembl:miRNA